rnacentral:rRNA from 1 species
UACGAAGGGGGCUAGCGUUGCUCGGAAUUAUUGGGCGUAAAGCGCACGUAGGCGGUUCGUUAAGUCGGAUGUGAAAGCCCUCGGCUCAACUGAGGAAGUGCACCCGAAACUGGCGAGCUUAAGUACGAAAGAGGAUCGCGGAAUUCCCGGUGUAGAGGUGAAAUUCGUAGAUAUCGGGAGGAACACCGGUGGCGAAGGCGGCGAUCUGGGUCGAUACUGACGCUGAGGUGCGAAAGCGUGGGGAGCAAACAGG